rnacentral:rRNA from 1 species
CAGUCGCCGCGGUAAUACGGAGGGCGCGAGCGUUACCCGGAUUUACUGGGCGUAAAGGGCGUGUAGGCGGCCUGGGGCGUCCCAUGUGAAAGGCCACGGCUCAACCGUGGAGGAGCGUGGGAUACGCUCAGGCUAGAGGGUGGGAGAGGGUGGUGGAAUUCCCGGAGUAGCGGUGAAAUGCGCAGAUACCGGGAGGAACGCCGAUGGCGAAGGCAGCCACCUGGUCCACUUCUGACGCUGAGGCGCGAAAGCGUGGGGAGCAAACCGGAUUAGAUACCCCGGUAGUCCCUGUCUCUUAUAC